rnacentral:rRNA from 1 species
GAUCAUGGCUCAGGAUGAACGCUAGCGACAAGCUUAACACAUGCAAGUCGAGGGGCAGCACGGGGUAGCAAUACCCCGGUGGCGACCGGCGCACGGGUGAGUAACACGUGUGCAACCAACCCCGUACCGGGAGAUAACCCGCGGAAACGUGGACUAACACCCCAUAAUACCUUUCCCCCGCAUGGGGGGGAGUUUAAAACCCCGGUGGUACGGGACGGGCACGCGCGACAUUAGGUAGUUGGCGGGGUAACGGCCCACCAAGCCGACGAUGUCUAGGGGUU